rnacentral:rRNA from 1 species
GACGAACGCUGGCGGCGUGCCUAAUACAUGCAAGUCGAACGCAGGGGGGACGGGUGAGUAACACGUGGGUAACCUCCCCAUCACAGGGGAUAACAUUUGGAAACAGGCGCUACACCGAUACUGAUGGAUGGACCCGCGGUGCAUGAGCUAGUUGGGGGGGUAACGGCGCACCAAGGCCACGAUGCAUAGCCGACCUGAGAGGGUGAUCGGCCACACUGGGACUGAGACACGGCCCAGACUCCUACGGGAGGCAGCAGUAGGGAAUAUUCAGCAAUGGACGAAAGGCGGACCGAGCAACGCCGCGUGAGUGAAGAAGGUUUUCGGAUCGUAAAACACUGUUGUUAGAGAGGCGGUAUCUAACCAGAAAGCAACGGCUAACUACGUGCCAGCCGCCGCGGUAAUAC